rnacentral:tRNA from 1 species
GCCUUAAUAGCUUAAACUAAAGCACUGUUCUUGUAAACCAGAGCUGGGCACCACCCUUAAGGCA